rnacentral:lncRNA from 1 species
AGAUACACGUGUAGAAACAUACACACACGUAAUGUACACAUAUGUAUAGUGCACAUAUGCACGCACUUGUACACACAUUUAGGCAUACACAUGCAUAUGUAGAUGCAUGUGUACAUGCAUGUAUACAUCUACACAUGCACAGACACACAUACAUGUACACAUGCAUACUGUGUACAUAAUACAUGUAUACAGAUACAUGUGCGCAUGCACGUGUACACACAUGCAUGCAUACACACAUGCAUUUGUAGAUAUAUGUGUAGGUGUGUACACACAACAUACACAUAUGCAUCCACACAUACACAUAUACAUAUGAGGUGGCACGUUCAGCUUUCAAGAGGACCAUCAGGGACUUUGUCACCUUGACAACUUUAGCCUUGCCUUCUAGUCACCUUGCCGGAACACUUGUGCCCGUGUUUUUCUAGCACUGUCAUAAGAAUACUUUUACCUAUCAAGGCAACUGGGGGUUAGGAGAGCUUUUUGCACAGGAGGCUACUUGGCUUUGUUUGAAAACUGAUGAUACAUGAGGAUUGGGGUGGUGAAUCACUCACAUGUUUCUUCAUAUGAAAAAUGAGGACUGUGGGAUUCUCUGGCUGGAUCUCAGCACCUAGAAAUGGAUCUGGGCAAUAGGAACUGCUCAGUAUUAGCUACCGCUUUGGUUGCCUUCUCCUUGCGGAAAGCUGGCCUCUCACACUGAAUUUGUAUCAUAGGCACUCAUGAGGGUCUUGACUGUAUCAAUAUCUGAUGAGAGAUUUUAGUGCAGUUCUGUUAUCGUGGCUGAUUUGCUCAUUUGGUAGCUAGCAUCCAGCUUCUUGUGAACAUUAAAAUAAAAUAAAAUAGAUUAUGGAGGAAUAGAAUACAGAUACGUAGUAAGGUAUUAUUUUCCAGACAAAAUGGAUUUGGAUAAAAGAAUCUAAUUAAGAACUUGUGCAUGAUUCUUUUAAAAUUCUUUUGAAUCCAUUUUUUUUUUUUUGGCCUGUUUUCAAGUCUCCGAUUUUUGUCACCCUUCUCACACCAGGUCAGAGAGAUAGCUAAUGGUCAGAAGGAAUCUUCCAGCAAUGACCAUAGCGCUUUCUCCUGCCUGCAGAUGCCUCUUUUUAUUCAGCCUUUAUGGGAAGUAGCAGCACCAUCCAGUUCUCAGAGAGCAAGCUCUGGAGUAACUGAGCUAACCCCAGUUACCCCAGUGGAUUUACAGAUUGAGGUUACAACCCAGCAGGGUUCUCUUCCUGGAAAGAAUAGCCUUCCCUCUAAGGUUUCAAAUAGACCCUGGGUGAGGAAGGAGCCCUAAACAGCUUGAAAAAUUGAAUGCUCUUUGGGCAAAGCAGGAAGCCGUCCUAUGGAAGAGCAUCAUUUGAGCAUAAAUCAGGUUAUCAGGACAAACAGAGUGUUCAGGAGGUCAAGAUGGUUAAGCAGAGACCCUGACCAGAAUGUCCGUGGCGGAGAGAAACAAUCUUGUUGGGAAAAGGAUGACAAUAAUUGGGGACUUAGAAUAAAGGCUAAAAAUGAUUCAAAGAGAAUGCAAAAAGAAUCAGGCACAAAUCGUUUACUAUACUCUGUUAUGCAAAUCUCACCUUACUAUGUGUUUGUAUUCUAUUCCUCCACAAUCUUUAUUUUAUUUUAAUGUUCAAAGAGACUUGUAGGUGCCAAUUAAAUGAACAAAACAGCCAGAGACAACAGAACUGCCCUAAAAAAAGUCCCGCAUCAGCUCUUGAGAGCAGGUUCCUUAAAGGUGAACAAUAUUCCACAUACAAGGACUUUUUCAGCACCAUGCAUUAGAAAUGGAAGUGAAUGUUUAUUAUUUUUUGUAUAAGUUGGUUGAUAUGGCUUUUCAGCUUCCCUCAGUAUCAUUAUCCAAAUUUUGUAGAUGACACUAAAGCUCAGAGGAGUUAAACCAUUUUCCUUAAAUCACAUAGCUUUAAAUAGGAAAACCAGAUAUGAAAAGCAGAUUUUUUUUCUAAAUUAAAAAACCAAAAACAAAAACACGUGAGCUCUUGCUUUACCCUAGCACAUAGUCUUGCCAUCUGUUUUCUCCACACCAGGUGAUUCCUGUAACAUUCAUUCACAUAACAAAUACAAAUAAAUGAGUGGAUUCAUUCAUCAGAUAUUAAUUCAGAAUCCCUUUUGUGCCUUCCAGAAAUCUGGACCAUCUCACAACCCCCAGAGAGUCUCAGCUACAAGGAACAAGUGAUAAUGCCAUCCCACUUUUAUAAACACACACACACACACAUGCAAUACACACACAAUCAUUUAAUCAUUUUUAAUUAUUUAAUUAUUUUUUAAAAAUCAGUGACACUUUAGCUGGGCAGGUCUAGAUAGGUCUUCUUUGCUGGGACGUGUCUUUUUCUGUCCUGGAAUACCCUAAACUUCACAUUUUGGCAGCGUGAGUUUUCCCUUUGUGACUUUCUCCUUCUUCCCUUUUUUCCUCCUUCUUUGCAGAGAAUGAGUAGCCACUGCACCUUGCCCUGCGCCAUCAAUGAGAAGAUCUGCUCUUAGUAGAGCCCUGCUUUCCCGCUGAAGGCCCUGAAAUCACCUGUGUUCCAGGCCACCCACUAAGGAUAAACAAAGCUUCCCUGAUAUGGGGAAUUAGCUCAAGUGGUAGAGCGCUUGCUUAGCAUGCAAGAGGUAGUGGGAUCAAUGCCCACAUUCUCCAAGCUUUAUUAUUUAGGUACCCAAACCCGAGUCAGUGUCUGAGAGCAAGACACUGCUCUCGGUGUCUUUGGUUCAAGACAUAGGAGCAGCAACAAUACAGGACUGGUGACAGCUUCCUGCUGGCAUUCAGUAUAGUGUAGAUCUACUGUGUAAUUAAUUUUCUGUUUCUUCGAGGAGCUGUGAAACCAAAGGACAUAUAAAACUGCUCUUUUCUCCCUGUUUCUGCCUGCAGCUUGGUCCUAAAUGUGAGACAAUUGUGAAAAGUGGAGGACAGAGCCACCUGGUUAAAUACAGCCCCAGCUUUCUGGUGAGAGGACUGAAACCAAGAUGUGUCAAGUAACUAGAAUGUGCCUGGACAGAUACUGUAGAAAGCAAAACCAUAAAGUUGUUCAUGAGCUUGUGGACGCACCUGCCAGCUGUGAAUAAGUGGCUCUAAUCCCGAACAACUUACCUAAAAAGAGCCUGAGAGCUGAACUGUGCAAUGGCCCACUUUCCAGUCCUCACUGACCACUGGGUUGCACACACUUUGGAGAUCUCUGAACAGCAGUGUCAAGGCUUUCAAAUAGAGUUAUCUUUGAAACGACAACACAUGAAAGUCUGGUUGGUACUUGGAGCUUAAAUACAAGGCAAUUGUGUGCCUGCAAAAACAAAAAUAGCAAUAUUAUCCUUAAGAUUUCAACAAGACACAGUGUCUCAUCACAUAAUCCAAAGAAGUCCAGGUUACAAGCCCCACAAUAUUCAGCAUUAUGAAAAAACAGGGAGAUCUUAAUUCACAUGGCAAAGAGAAUCCUCGAAUAACAAUAUUGAGAGGACACAGAUGUCAAAAUCAUCUGACACAUACAUUAAAGCAGAUAUUAUAACAAUGCUCCUAGAAUCGGGGAUAACAUUCGUGAAGUGAAUGGAAAGUUGGAAAGUCUCACCAAAUAUUUCGAAUACAUAAACACCAAUUUAAACUUAAGAAUUAAAAAAAUGUAUUAACCAAAACUCUUAGGGGAAAUAAAAAGCUUAAUUGGAGGAUCUCCAUAAUCGAAUGCAGAAGACUAAGGAAAAAGUCAAUGAACUUGAAAACAGAACACGAAUACCUACAUAAUCUGAACUAUAGAGAGAAAGGAGGAUUUUAUUGUCUCUGAACAGAGGCUCAGGCACAAAUAAAAAAUAACAAAUCCAACAUUCACAUUAUUGUAAUCUGGAAAGAAGAGGACAAAGUGGUCUUUGUGGGAUAAAACUUUGAACAAUUAAUAGCUGAAAAUGGUUCAAAUUUGUCAAAAGAUAUAAACCAGAUUUUUAAAGUUCAGUAAAUGUCAAUCAGGAUAAACCCAAAGAAACCCAUAGCAAGGCAUAUCAUAAUCAAACUGCUGAAAACUAAGAAAAUACAAAACAAUUUUGAAAGCAGCCAAAGGGAAAUGAAAGAGAAACUACCAAAUGAAUGAUUGUAGAUUUCGCAUCAGGAACCAUAGGGGCCAGAAAAAAUGUCAUAACAUUCGGUAAGUAACAAAAGAAAAAGACAUAUCGACCCAGAAUGCUAUGUGGAGCAAAAGUAUCUUCCAGACAUAAAGGCAAAUAAAUGCAUUCUCAGUGGAAGGUAAGUAAAUACAUUCUCAUUCUUAGGAAGACUGCUGGAAAAGAAUUAGCAAAGAUUUGAGAUAAGAAAAAUGAUACCAGAAGGAAACUUAGAACAUCAUCAGUGAAGGAACAAAAGCAGAAAUAGAACAUGUCUGGGUAGACAUAACAGACUAUUAUUCUUCCCUUGAGUUCCUUAAGGAGACUACGGAAAAGAAGAGUGACUAAGAUCUCUGAAGAAGGGAAAAGCUAGAUGACUGGGCCACAAGAGGAAAAAAAGCAGCAAGACAGGAUGUAUUCUGCAGCAGGAAGUGUGAUGGGCACUGACGCUGCAGAAAGACUCCUGUUGUCCACCUCGGGAGCUGACACGAUAAAUGCGGGUAAAUCUCAAUCCUUUAAUAUCUUUAUGACUUCUUUCUCUUUCUCUUCAAUUUCUAUUUUCUCAUGUUCAAGCUCUGACAUUCAAAACUAAACACCUUUCUCUAACAUGUUGCUUUAAUUAUUUAAGCAUUCUGCCUGGGAUUUUUUCAAUUACUCUUGGGAGUUUUCAUAAAACUCUACCAACAUAUCUCCAAGUGGCCAGGCUUUUCAAUCACUGCUUCCCUCCGUGUGUAUUUCACACACACACACACACACACACACACACACAGCACUUAAAUUGAACAGGUUUAUUUCUUCACACAGGAAUUCCUACGAACAGCCCGGUUUUCUCCACCAUAUGUCCACUCCUUCUCUGCAUAGCUGAAUUUUGAUUCUUACACUCUAAUAUUUUACAUAUUCUUACACUCUGAUAUGAUCUUGUCUCUUAUUCUUUAUGGCUCUGCUCUGUAAUUUUGUUGUUGUUGUUCUGAGAUAUAGUUGGACAUGUAACUUGUACAUGACACACCUUAGCAAGGAGGCAACCUAUAUCUCAGAUGCAAGUGAAAGAAGCACUCCCCAGGGGUUUCCUAAGGUAGUGGUCAGCACGCUGGCUUCAUUCCUGAAAGGGCCUAGUUAUGAAAACAACAGGAGCUUUUUGCCUUCCAGAAAUCUGUACCAUCUCAAAAUCCCCAGAGAGUCUCAGCUACAAGGAACAAGUGAUAAUACUAUCUCACUUUUAUAAACACACACACACAACACACACACACAAAAUCAUUUAAUCAUUUUUAAUUAUUUAAUCAUUUUUUAAAAAUCAGUGACACUUUAGAUGGGCAGGUCUAGGCAGGGCCUCCUUUCCUGGAAUGUGCCUUUUUCUGUCCCGGAAUACCCUAAACUUGACAUUUUGGCAGUGUGAGUUUUCCCUUUUUGACUUUCUCCUUGUUCCCUUUCCUCUUCCUUCUUUGCAGAGAAUGAGUAGCCACUGCACCUUGCCCUGGGCCAUCAGUGAGAAGAUCUGCUCUUAGUAGAGCCCUGCUUUCCCGCUGAAGGCCCUGAAAUCCCCUGUGUUCCAGGCCACCCACUAAGGAUCAAUAAAGCUCCCCUGAUGUGGGGGAAUUAGCUCAAGUGGUAGAGCGCUUGCUUAGCAUGCAAGAGGUAGUGGGAUCGAUGCCCACAUUCUCCAAACUUUAUUAUUUAGACCCUGGGUCUCCAAACACUCAGGUCUCCAAACCCAAGUCAGAGAACAGGAUGCUGCUUUGGUUCAAGAUGUAGGAGCAGCAACAAUACAGGGCUGGUGACGGCUCCCUCCUGGCAUUCAGUAUAGUGUAGAUCUACCGUGUAAUUAAUUUUCUGCUUCUUUGAGGAGCUGUGAAACCAAGGGACAUAAACAAUUGCUCUUUUCUCCCUGUUUCUGCCUGUAGCUUGAAUGUGAGGCAACUGUGAAAAGUGCAGGGCAGAGCCACCUGGGUAAAUACAGCCCUGGCUUUCUGGUGAGAGGACUGAAACCAGGAUGUGUCAAGUAACUAGAAUGUGCCUGGACAGAUACUGUAGAAAGCAAACCCAUAAAGUUGUUCAUGAGCUUGUGGACGCACCUGCCAGCUGUGAAUAAGUGGGUCUAAUCCCAAACAACUUACCUAAAAAGAGCCUGAGGACUGAACUAAACAAUGGUCCACUUUCCAGUCCUCACUGACCACUGGUUGCACACACUCCAGAGAUCUCUCAUCCGCAGUGUCAAGGCUUUCAAAUAGAGUUAUCUGUGAAACAACAACACAUGGAAGUCUGGUUGGUACUUGGAGCUUAAAUACAAGGCAAUUGUGUGCCUGCAAAAACAAAAAGAGCAAUAUUAUCCUUAAGAUUUCAACAAGACACAGUGUCUCAUCACAUAAUCCAAAGAAGUCCAGGUUACAAGCCCCAAAAUAUUCAGCAUUAUGAAAAACCAGGGAGAUCUUAAUUCACAUGGCAAAGAGAAUCCUUGCAUAACAAUAUUGAGAGGACACAUAUGUCAAAAUCAUCUGACACAUACAUUAAAGCAGUUAUUAUAACAAUGCUCCUAGAAUUACGGGAUAGCAUUCAUGAAGUGAAUGGAAAGUUGGAAAGUCUCACCAAAUAUUUGGAAUAUGUAAACACCAAUUUAAACUUAAGAAUUAAAAAAAGUAUUAACCAAAACUAUUAGGGGAAAUAAAAAGCUUAAUUGGAUGAUCUCAAUAGCAGUAUGCAGAAGACUAAGGAAAAAGUCAAUGAACUUGAAAACGGAACAAGAAUACCUACAGAAUCUGACCUAUAGAAAGAAAGGAGGAUUUUAUUGUCCCUGAACAGAGGCUCAGGGACAAAUAAAAAAUAACAAAUCUAACAUUCACAUUAUUGUAAUCUGGAAACAUUCACAUUAUUGUAAGAGGACAAAGAGGUCUUUGUGGGAUAAAACUGUGAAGAAUUAAUGGCUGAAAAUGUAUCAAAUUUCUCAAAAGAUAUAAACCAGAUUUUUAAAGUUCAGUAAAUGUCAAGCAGGAUAAACCAAAAGAAACCCAUUGCAAGACAUAUCAUAAUCAAACUGCGGAAAAUUAAGAAAACACAAAACAAUUUUGAAAGCAGCCAAAGGGAAAUGAAAGAUAAAAUACCAAAUGAAUGAUUGUAGAUUUCUCAUCGGGAACCCAGGAGCCAGAAAAAAAUGUCAUAACAUUCAGUAAAUACCAAAGGAAAAAUACAUUAUCAACCCAGAAUGGUAUGUGGAGCAAAAGUAUCUUCCAGACAUAAAGGCAAAUAAAUGCAUUCUCAUUGGAAGGUAAAUAAAUACAUUCUCAGUCCUAGCAAAACUGCUGGAAAAGAAUUAGCAAAGGUUUGAGAUAAGAAAAGUGAUACCAGAAGGAAACUUAGAACAUCAUCAAUGAAGGAACAAAAGCAGAAAUAGAAAAUGUCUGGGUAGACAUAACAGACUAUUAUUCUUCUCUUGAGUUCCUUAAGGUAUGUUUGAUGGUUGAAAGCAAAAAUUGUAACUUUAUCUGAUGCAGUUGUCAUUGUAUCUAGAUGUACUACAUACAUAAGAUAAAAGGGUAAAUGUAAUGGGACUAACUCUUGAUGAAGUUUCUAUAUUCAACUUGAAUGGUAAAAUAUUGAUUCUUAGUAUACUGUGAAAAGUUAUAUAUGUAUAUGGUAAUCCCUAGACCACUUAACAACCAGAUUGAAAUAAACCAAAACAAGAUAGACAGAGGAACAUAGAAGAAUUAAAACAAAGGGAAAAAAGGUUAAUAAAUUAUUAAAUAGUAGAUCUAUCUAAAAACUUAUCUAUAAUAACAUUAUAUGUAAAUUAUCUAAAUGCAUUAAGUAAAAACUAGAGAUCAUCAGAAUGUGUUAAAAAUAAAUAUGCUGACUAAAGAAAGCCACCUGCAAUACACUUAUAAAUAAGAAUAAAAGUUAUAGAGCAGAUUGAAAGAAAAGAGUGGGAAAAGAUACCUCAUGCAAGCAUUAAUCAAAGACAGCUGUGGUGUAUAUAUAUAAAAUCAGACAAAGUAGAUUUGAAAGCAGAGAAACUUUUCAGGAAUAAUGAGGCCUCCUAAAUAAUUAUGAUUGUCAAUUUUUCAGGAGAAUAUUGUCCCAAAUGUAUAUGAGGACACAGAGCUUCAAAACUCAUAAACAAAAUUGGAUACGCCAAGUAAAAAUAGAAAAAUCCAGUUAUAGUUGCAGUCAUUAACACUCCUCUCUGAGUAAUUGGAAGAUUUAGUGGAACACAAAUCAACAGACAUACUGGAGAAUUGAACCAUGCCAUCCAGUAAUGGACCUAUCAAUUUCAUAAUGCAAAAUAAAAAUUCAGGUAGAAAGCAAAGACAAAAAUUAAAAGAAAAGCAAGAUCAUGUUAUAAUGAGAAAAUUAAGAGUAGUCCAGUGUAUAGAAGGGUGCUAUUAUUGAAAGAGUUUGAAAUAGUGACUUAGUUAUUUUGAAACAUUUUUGAAGACGUUAUUUAGCUGGAAAUGACAGAAAGACUGAAAAUGGUGAAUGUGGAGGUGGAUCUUCCCUUGUCCAUAUUUAUCUUGUCUUCGUUUGAGGUCUGGGGUGUCUAUACUUCCUCUGAAUUACCUGAUCUUACUACAGUGUCUGGCACAGAGCAUCUCCCCAGUGAAUAUGUACUAAAUGAGUAGAAAGUAAUUGAUAGAUUCAAAAGAGUUGUGCAAGAAUAAUGUUCAUUAUUUGACUAAUCACUGAAUGUGGUGUUUCAAGGAAGACAAUGAAUCAAAGUUGACUUGAAAGGUAAGCCCAGGGCCAGACGUGGUGGCUCAUUUCUGUAAUCCCAGCACUUUGGGAGGCCGAGAUCAGUGGAUCCCUUGACACCAGGAGUUUGAGACCAGCCUAGGCAACACAGUGAAAACCUGUCUCUACAACAAAUACAAAAAUUAGCCGGGUGUGGUGGUAUGCAUCUGUAGUUCCAGCUACUCAGGAGGCUGAGGUGGGAGGAUCGCUUGAACUCAGGAGGUGGAGGUUGCAGUGAACAGAGAACGCACCGGUACCUGGACAACAAAGUGAGACCCUGUCAUAAAAUAAAAUAGUUAAACCCAGGCCAGGAGGGGUGGCUCAUGCCUGUAAUCCCAGCACUUUGGAAGGCCAAGGUAGGCUGAUCACGUGACGUCAGGAGGUUGAGACCAGCCUGGCCAACAUGGUGAAACCCCGUCUCUACUAAAAAUACAAAAAUUAACCAAGCGUGGUGGCAGGCACCUGUAGUCCCAGCUACUCUGGAGGCUGAGACAGGAGAAUUACUAGAACCCGGGAGGCAGAGGUUGCAGUGAGCCAAGAUCUUACCAUUGCACUGCAGCCUGGGCGACAGAGUGACACUCUGUCGAAAAAAAAAAAAAAAAAAAAGUUAAGCCCAAAAAGUAAGUAAGGAAGAGGUUUGGAAUUAGAUAUUUGUUGUAUGAAUGAGUGAGCUAAAGUGCAAAAGAACGGGCAGAAUAACUGAGCUGGUACAGAGGGAAAAAAUCACAUUUAAAAUCUAAAAAUAUCUGCUUCUUAGUUCAGGCUUUCCCACUUAGCAGCUUUGGCACCUUAGGAACACUUAACUUAUCUGAGCCUCUAUUACUUCUAAAAAGUGCAUAAAGUGCAGACUAAGACAGUUUUUUUGGCAAAAUUCAGUCAGACUACAUCAAGUAAACUCCCUAAGUCUCCUAGUAUAAUUCAUGGCACAAAAAAUUGGGGAAAAAACAGGGAGGAUAUGAUUAUAAGUUCAGUUUAUGUUUUUUGUUGAGUGAAUGUCUCCAGUCAUAGAGAUGCAAGUGUAGAUACACAGUAAGAGUAGUAUGAAUGGGAGACACCUUGGAAGGCUAUUUCUUCCUUCCUUCAUUCAGUUGGUCACUCAGUGAACUAUCAUGAAUUGAGCACCGCCUCUGUUUCUUAUCAACAAAGGAGACUGCGGAAAAGAAGAGUGACUAAGAUCUCUGAAGAAGGGAAAAGCUAGAUGACUGGGCCACAAGAGGAAAAAAAGCAGCAAGACAGUUACAAUUGUUUCUGGUCCCACUUUUAUAAACACACACACACACACACACACACACACACACACACACAAAAUCAUUUAAUCAUUUUUAAGUAUUUAAUCAUUUUUUAAAAAUCUGUGAUGCUUUACCUGGGCAUGUCUAGGCAGGUCCUCCUUUGCUAGGACGUGCCCUUUUCUGUCCCGGAAUACUCUAAACUUGGCAUUUUGGCAGCGUGAAGUUUUCCCGUUGUGACUUUCUCCUUGUUCCCUUUUCUCCUCCUUCUUUGCAGACAAUGAGUAGCCACUGCUGUUUGCCCUGGCCCAUCAAUGAGAAGAUCUGCUCUUAGAGCCCUGCUUUCCUGCUGAAGGCCCUGAAAUCACCUGUGUUCCAGGCCACCUGCUAACAAUAAAUAAUGCUGCCCUGAUGUGGGGAAUUAGCUCAAGUGGUAGAGCGCUUGCUUAGCACGCAAGAGGUAGUGGGAUCGAUGCCCACAUUCUCCAAGCUUUAUUAUUUAGACAUCGUGUCUCCAAACACUCAGGUCUCCAAACCCAAGUUAGUGUCUGAGAACAGGAUGCUGCUUUGGUUCAAGACGUAGGAGCAGCAAUAAUAGAGGGCUGGUGAUGGCUCCCUCUUGGCAUUCAGUAUAGUGUAGAUCUACCAUGUAAUUAAUUCUCUGUUUCUUUGAGGAGCUGUGAAACCAAGGGACAUAUACAACUGCUCUUUUCUCCCUGUUUCUACCUGCAGCUUUGUCCUAAAUGUGAGACAAUUAUGAAAAGUGCAGCGCAGAGCCACUUGGGUAAAUACAGCCCCGGCUUUCUGCUCAGGGGACAGAGUUUGAGGCACUGCAGAGGAACCGGCCAAAGUAUGAGACCCAUAUAUUGAGAGUAACAGAGUGUAAAGUUCAAAAAAAUCAAAAUAUUUAAAGAUUUAUCAUGGGUCUUGAUGACAUGAUGGAAUCUCUCUACUCUCUGGACUUAUUAUGUGUGGUAAUAAAUUUACUUUUUAAAAGCCA